GAUGAAGAACGCAGCGAAAUGCGAUAAGUAAUGUGAAUUGCAGAAUUCAGUGAAUCAUCGAAUCUUUGAACGCACAUUGCGCCCCCUGGUAUUCCGGGGGGCAUGCCUGUCCGAGCGUCAUUGCUGCCCUCAAGCCCGGCUUGUGUGUUGGGUCUCGUCCCCCUUCCCGGGGGGACGGGCCCGAAAGGCAGCGGCGGCACCGCGUCCGGUCCUCGAGCGUAUGGGGCUUUGUCACCCGCUCUGUAGGCCCGGCCGGCGCUUGCCGAUCAACCAAAACUUUUUUCCAGGUUGACCUCGGAUCAGGUAGGGAUACCCGCUGAACUUAAGCAUAUCAAUAAGCGGAGGA
rnacentral:misc_RNA from 1 species